rnacentral:rRNA from 1 species
CCGCGGCAGAUUAGCUAGUCGGUGGGGUAAUGGCCUACCGAGGCGACGAUCUGUAGCUGGUCUGAGAGGAUGAUCAGCCACACUGGGACUGAGACACGGCCCAGACUCCUACGGGAGGCAGCAGUAAGGAAUAUUCCGCAAUGGACGCAAGUCUGACGGAGCGACGCCGCGUGCGCGGAGAAGCCCUUCGGGUUGUAAAGCGCUUUUCCCGGGGAAGAUAAAGACAGUACCCGGGGAAUAAGCCUCGGCUAACUACGUGCCAGCAGCCGCGGUAAUACGUAGGAGGCAAGCGUUGUCCGGAAUCACUGGGCGUAAAGCGCGUGCAGGCGGCAAGGCAAGUCUACUGUGAAAGCGCCCUGCUUAACGGGGCGAGGACGGCGGAAACUGCCUAGCUAGAGGACGGUAGAGGGGGGUGGAAUUCCCGGUGUAGUGGUGAAAUGCGUAGAGAUCGGGAGGAACACCUGUGGCGAAGGCGGCCCCCUGGGCCGUUCCUGACGCUGAGACGCGAAGGCGCGGGGAGCGAACGGGAUUAGAUACCCCGGUAGUCCGCGCAGUAAACGAUGUACACUAGGUGUGGGGGGUAUCGAGCCCCUCCGUGCCGGCGCUAACGCAUUAAGUGUACCGCCUGGGGAGUACGACCGCAAGGUUAAAACUCAAAGGAAUUGACGGAAUCGAAUUCCC